CAAUAGCGAAUAUUAAAGUUGUUGCAGUUAAAAAGCUCGUAGUUGAAUUUCUGGGGGGCAUGUUGGGACCGCUUGAUUGCGCGUCCUUGACAAACUCUCCAUCCUUGUAGGGAGUGCGUUGGCCUUAAUUGGUUCGGCGUAUCGACCUGCAUCAUUUACUGUGAAAAAAUUAGAGUGUUUAAAGCAGGCUAUCGCUUGAAUACAUUAACAUGGAAUAACAAGAUAGGACAUUUGGUCUAUUUUGUUGGUUGCGACCAAACGUAAUGAUUAAUGGCGACGGUUGGGGGCCUUUGUAUUGAGGUGGAAGAGGUGAAAUUCUUGGAUUUCCUCAAGACAAACUACUGCGAAAGCACUGGCCAAGAACGCUCGCAUCAA
rnacentral:rRNA from 1 species